rnacentral:rRNA from 1 species
AAGGGCGACUGAACUGUCAUGAGCUCACCAUGUGAAUCAGUGGCACCGAAUUGUGGUCUGGAGGUGUGUGCAUUUUGGCAAAGUCCCUUGGAAGAGGGCAGCRUAGAGGGUGAUACUCCCGUUUGCCGGGCGCCACCAAUGAGUCGAGUUGUUUGGGAUUGCAGCUCAAAGCCGGUGGUAAAUUCCAUCGAAAGCUAAAUACUGGUGGGAAACCGAUAGCGCACAAGUACCGUGAGGGAAAGAUGCAAAGAACUUUGAAAAGAGAGUUAAAGAGUGCCUGAAAUUGCUGAGAAGGAAGCGAAGGAAAGUAGUGAUGUUGCGCCAUACUUCCUGACCUGCUUGCAGGUUAGGCGCUGUGGUCAGCGUGGUUCAUUUUGGU